UGGGCCUGUGUCUGCUCUCCCCCCAGCCUGUCUCCUUUCGUCUGCUUGGCAACUCCUAUCAGGUCUUCAAGGCUCACUUCAAAAGGGACAGCUGCUCCUGGGGAUCUUUGCUCUCCUCCUGCCCCAGGCAGAAUUGGUCGCUCCUUUUUCUCUACCUUCCGCACCAUCUUGUUAUGGCAUCUACCCAUCCAUCAUCCAUCCACUCGUAUUCACUGAGCACUAAUAGAAUCCCUGGUCAUCGGCAGAGCAGACAAGCGGAAGGCGGGCACUGCGAGGUGUGAGCCCCGCCACGAGGGCUCCUGGCCGUGCUUGGGGUCGAGGGAGGAGAGUUCUCAUCAGAUAUCCAGGAGAAAAAGAUGAACCCGUCGGCAGGAUGCCAGCCGGACUAGGGCUUGUGGGCCUGUUUCUGGGGAAAUGUACUAGUUGCCAACGAAACUGUGCAUAACCAUGGGAACAGAAGUCAAGCUAAUUGGUUACUAUGAAACAAGGUCAAAGGGGCCUGGCUGAUGUCAAGGCUGUGUGGUUAGGAUGGAGGCUCAAGGGGAUGGCUGGGAGGCCAGCAGGGAUGGGUGAUGGUGAGGGCACAGACUUUUCUUGUUCAGCAGAUUAUCUAGAAGCUAGACUAGUCCUCGGAACCUGGGGAAAACCUCACUUCAGUUUCCACUGUUGGAAAUUCCUUCAUGAAACAAACAUCUGUCAAGUGUCUCCAUUGUCCCAGGCAUAGCAGCAGGGACAGUGACCUCGAAAGGCCAGGACCUCAAUGUUUGCUCUGCCACUCACUUGCUUUGUCAUCCAGGCAAGUUAUGUGUCGCAUCCCCAUGGCUGACGUUUGCUGAAUGGUUAUUACUGUGUCCCCCGUAUGUGUUAACUGCUUUACAUACACGAGUUCAUCUUCACAACAUCUUCAUCAUCACAAACAUCAUCUCUCGCUAAGAGAUAUAUAUUAUUAUUCCAUCUUUACAGAAAAGGACAUGGGCUCAGAGGGGAUCAGCGGCAUGCCCGAGACACACAGCUGAUCCCAGGGCCAAGGGGGGAUGUGAACCCAGGUCUGGUGGAGUCCUGAGGCUGCCUUCUUAGGCACUAUCAUGCUCGAUGUCUAUGAGCUCAGUUUCCACAGCAAUGAAAAUAGGUACAAUCAAUUUUGACUGUAUUGGGGUUGUUAGCGAUUUAAUGACGGAUGUGAGGCUUAGAAGGUGCCUGGUGAAUGUCCACUGUGUUCUCCUCCCCGUUUCCUUCAGCCACUGCGCCUCAACACUUCCCUGGACAGGAGAAAUGAUGGCCCCAUCUGCCGUCUCUCCAAGGACACACGUCUCUGUCCCAGGUCCAGCAGUGUCCGGCAUGUGGCCAGUGCUCACCAAAUGCUGUCGGCCCCAAUAGAUGAUCUGGGGGUCCCCACUCUCAGCUCUCUGGAUUUCAAAUAGGGGACCCCACUCAGUCUUAGUCCAUGAUGCAGCAAGCUGUGGCAAGUUCCACAAAGACAAUUCUCUUGGUGCCGUGGAACUCACUGUCAAGCCACUGGAACUUCUGGGUUUUUCUCAGCAGAAUGGAGUGUUAACGGGUAAGACGUGAUCCCCUGAGCUCUCCUGGCAGAGAAGGCACCAGAAGGAAGAUGAGGGUAUUCCCGGUCCAGCCUGAUAUCUCAGCUUUCUCCCACAGGCAAACUCCAGCUUGUUCUCAUCCUUACCACGCCCCCAACUGCAGACAGGCUCAUAUAUUGGGGGCAUUAACCUUCCUCCCACUGUAGGCCCGUGGAGAGGCAGUGGGCAUGUAAGCACUUAAAACUCGAACCUGUGGGUCAGCCCUCCUCCCCUCCCCCUUCCUCAGCAGAAGCACUGGAGCUGGAGGCUUCAUGGGGACAGACACCACAGCCUUGGAGACAAGUCACAUCCUCAGCUUCCUUCAACCUGUGUGCGCAAUGGAGUUACCAUGGCGACACUGCAGCCCUGAGAUGCAAUAGCUGCAGACAGCAUGGGUGCUCCCAGGGCUCAGAGCUGAGGGGGACACUGUCUGACCUGGGAGGCCAGGCGACUGGGUGGGCCCGGUAGGGGGAGGAGGAGAGGGGAGCCCUCCUCUAGGCUUGGCUGGUAAUUGCUGCUAAGUGAGGGGCUGCCACUGAACCCAACGUGCUGAUAGUGGGGCCCCCCGCUCUGCACCCUGUAAUUACUGCACCAGAUAGCACUUGCUCCCUGUGCGGGGAGAGGGAGAUGGAGCGGGGAGCAGACAGGAAGCUCUCAUCCACCUGAGCCAGCGGGGCUCUGGCAGCCUCUCCCCACUGCCCAAGCAUCCUGCAUCCCAAGCAGGUUCUCUGGCAAAGGCGGAGGCCCCGGCCCCUCCUGUCUGCUGGCUUUCCCCACGUCAGUGGUGUGGAGCAUGAGCUUCCUUUAAUCCUACCUUCUGAGCCUACAGAAUCGGAGGGCGGGGGGUGGAGGUGCAGGAACCAGAUAAGACACCACCUCAGGGGAGCCCUGGGUGUCACACCUCCAUUUGCGGGAGAAGUCUGCGUUGUGAAGCUGAGCUGGCGGCAGGAGACCUCGAUUCUAAUUCCUCCUGGGCCCAGAAGCUCUGGGGGCCUCAGGCUACGCACUGCCCCCUCCUGGGCCUCAGUUUCCCUAGUCAUAAGACUGAGUGUGGGACUUACGUCGUUCUUAAGGCAUCUUCUACAGCAGGGGCUGGCAAACUGCAGCAUGCAGGUGGAAUCCUGGUUUUGCAGGAAGCGUUCCCUGGAACGUGGCCCCGCCCUUUUGCUUCUGUAUCUGUCUGUGGUUGCUUUCCUGCCACAAAGGCAGACUUGAGGAGCUGCGACAGGGACCAUAUGGCCCCUGAACGGAGUACAUUUACUAUCUGGUCCUUCACAGAGAAAGUCUGUCGACCUGUUUCUAAAAUAUUAACGUUCUCCUGGGCUUGGCGGGUGGGGCUGUUGUGGCUCUGAUCUGAUUAGACCAACUCCUAACAAGUCCCUCUACCUGGAGGCACCAGGGUGGGUCCUCCUCCUGACUCUGCCUGGGUUUGGACGUGCCUGGCGAUGGGCGGGGAGCUGAAGUCUGGUGUGGUGGCGCCACCUGCUGUGAGUGCUGGGCGCACUGGGGCCCGAAGGAGCACCUGCCUGCCCGCUCCCAGGGAGGGCAGCCAUGCAGAGGAGAGGCCGCAUCUCACCUCCUCCCUCUCUAUCUUAUAAAGAAGACGGCAGACUAGUGGGCAGGCGGGACCUGUUCAAGGCAGGUGGGCGUAAGGCCCAGGUCCCAGAGGCCCAUACCCUUCCAUACAUGUCUGCAGACACACAGCACUGGCCGUGAAUUUUAGCACGCCUGCCUACUUAGUCUUAGCCCCAUGGUUGUCAAAGAUCUUUCAGAAUAUGUGCGUAAAUAACGUUUGAUCUGCUACCAACAUUGACUCAGUCCUCAGAACAACUCUGAGAAAACCAUAAUCCCCAUUCCACAGACGGAAAGACUGCGGUUCAGAGAGGUUAGGUAAUUUGCUUAAGGUCACACAGUGAAUGAUGAGUCAAUAUUUAAAUCAGGCUGUGAAAACACUGGAGUCUCCAGAAUAUGAAACUCAGUACCUGUUCUUUGCUGCCUGCAGAUGCAGCAGGGCCCCAAGAGAGGGCCCUGGGGCUCUGACUGGA